AGCCAGGAAGACCGAAGCUGAGCAGCAUGGCAAGGGAGGAGGAAAAUGGGGACCCGCAGUGCCAGCAGCAGCCACCCAUGCACAGUGACUGAGGUGCUGCUGACUGUAUCACUGAUGACUGUAUUGUCCUGUGUAACCUGCAGCACCAAGCCAGCAGUGUACUGCAGACUUUUGAAGUUCACUAGAAACCCAUUAUUUACUGACUGGAUCCUACAACACAAGGAAGACAUGAAACGGCCGCCCACUCAUCAGACUGAAGAAUGUAUUUCUGCUAAACAAAAUGGAAUAGUGUCUUUCAGCUAAUUGUAUGCACUUUGUUCUAGUCUUAGAAAGACUGCCUUUGACUGCUUGACAUUUCUAAUUCCAGGAACUGGACUGUUACAAAAUGGUCUACUGAUAAUUUGAAUCAUUCUGUAUUUCAGUAAGGAUGUUUAGAUAAUAAAG